AGGAGACAUAAGGUCUCUCUGCAUGCAUACACCAAGGAAAAGCCACAUGAGGACAUAACCAGGAAGAGAGCCAUCACCAAGAACCCGAACAUGCGGACACCCUGAUCUCAGACUUCCAGCCUUCAGAACCGUUGCCACAGUUUUGAUGAUCAUCUCUCUCCCAACCAAGAUGGUGGAAAAAGCAAAAACGUGGUGAAUCUUGGAGCAAUCCGACAAGGCAUGAAACGCUUCCAAUUUCUGUUAAACUGCUGUGAGCCAGGGACAAUUCCUGAUGCCUCCAUCCUAGCAGCUGCCUUGGAUCUACUAUGCGGCAUUCUUCUGAUUCAUUUUUCUCCAUUUGUGCUGUUUUUCUCUGUGAUGUGAAUCCAUCCCUAUCCAUUAUGUCAUGCCUCCAUCUUUUGCUGCUUCUUCAGAUUGCACUGAGCCAUAAGAGGAAGCCCCUGUGGUGGCCAGAGCAGCCUUGUUCCUGGAAUGUGCUCGUUUUGUUCACCGCUGCAACCGUGGCAACUGGCCAGAGUGGAUGAAAGGGCACCACGUGAACAUCACCAAG
rnacentral:lncRNA from 10 species